GAGAGUUAAACAGUACGUGAAAUUGUUGAAAGGGAAACGAUUGAAGCCAGUCGUACCUUCGGGUAAUCAGCCUUUCGGGUGCGAUUAUGUGGAGUGUGAGGAGCUUAAACACCUUCAUGUUUUGCAUAUUCGUACUCUUGGGUGUACUUGCCCGUAUGGUUGGUUAACAUCAAUUUUGGUGGUCAUAAAAUGACUGGAGGAAUGUAGCUUCGAUCUCGUAUUGAAGUGUUAUAGCCUUCGGUAGAUGUGAUGAUCGAGAUUGAGGAUUGCAACGGAUACCCUUCGGGGCUACCUGUCUGAUCUCUGAUCGUUGUUCUGGUGCCGAAAGCUUGCUUACGGUUAUCAAAGUCGAUGGUCAAUAGGUUAGAACGGGUUAAAUUCGUUAAGGAUGUUGACGUAAUGGCUUUAAACGA
rnacentral:rRNA from 1 species